GAUUUUUAUAGCUCAUUACAAUUUUUUAAUAAUUAUAUUUAUAUGUGUUUGGGUUUUUUCCCACUAAGCUAUAUGAUCUUAGAGGGCCUCCUGCAGCCUUGAUAGUAAAUAUUCAGAAAAGAGAGAAGGAUUAGGAGAGAGAGAAGAAAGUGGUGGAGGAGAAGACAGGAGAGAAGAGGAACUCACACAGAAUGUUUGGGAUAGCAGUAUGCACGUUACUGGAUAGGACUGGACAUCAGCUCAGGAGGCAGCCCUAUAUGCUACAAUCUACAGGAUACUGAAACUGUUCACAAGAGCUACUCUUGUUGAAGACUAUACCCAAACUCUUCACAGAACCUCAGGACUUAGAGGAACACAACACAAAAAAAUCACCAACACAAGAUACAUCAGAAAGGAUUUCGCAAGACAAAACACAACUGACUACAAUAACUAGAACAGAUGAAGUGCUCUGAGAUUAGAGAAAUGAAAGCCCACAGGAUGCUGGAGUCCUCUGCGAAGUCUACAAUGGACACACGGGAGUCCUACCAGUCCAGAACCACUUUAAAUGAAGUUCAAGAGUUGAGUUUUCUUGGACCAACAGAUGAUGGAAUGUUGGGCUGCGUUUUCAUGAGAGGACUUCUUUACUUCCAGCUUACUUUAUGGCUCGCUGAUUCUCAAAUGUUGGUGGGUACCAGAACACCUGGAGAACUCAGACAGCACACAGAGAGCAGGCUCGUUGAAAGGGUUAUACCAAGUUCCCAGAGUUUUAUUCCAUUGUAUGGAUAUACCACCAUUUGUUUAUCUAUUCACCUCUGUAUGGACAUUUGGAGAAUUUCCAGUUUUUGGCUAUUACAAAUAAAGUUGCCGUGAACAUUCACAUGCAAGUCUUUGUAUGGAAACCUACUUUCUUUUCUCUGGAGUAAAUACCUAGAAUUGGGACAACUGGAUCAUAUGACUGCCCUGAGCUAACAUCCACGCCCAUCUCCCUCUGCUUUGUAUGUGGGCCACCUACCACAGCAUGGCGUGCCAAGCAGGGCCGUGUCCGCACCUAGGAUCCAAACCAGCGAAUCCCAGGCCACUGAAGCGGAACAUGUGAACUUAACCACUGUGCCACUGGCCGGUCCCAAAAAUAUCUUAAUAGAAGGUGACCUGACAAGCUGCCAGCUUUCAGUGGUGCCAGGAGCAAAAGAAGAUUCUCCAUUAGCCAGACUCCAAUACACAUGGCUCCACAACUAGGUCCUUAUGACUCAGCAGAUACAAUGGCACCCAAGGUCUCUGCUAAUCAGGAUGCUAUAUGGACUGUAGCAAGCCCCACAAGACAGUCAAUGUUCCUUGCAAUUCUUAAGCAAAGCCAACCUCUUUAUGAGCUUCUAAUUCCAUGGUAGACAAUUUACUCAAUACACCAGUGGAACGCCAAUGAGCAGAUUAUCAGGAUAACAUGAAACCCAGCAGUUCUAGAACAAUAUGUUCUACUGAAGUGCUGAAAGCUACUCAUCCUAUGGUACAGACGGAAAACCAUAAAGAACCACAAACGUGAGUUGGUGAAAUGACGAAGAUUCGCGCUAUGUGAAGACACUGAUUUUUAUACUGGGGCAACAUCUGGAGCAGCUAGUGGUGAUCAGGUUGCUCUUAGUCAACCGUGUGACACUCCAAAGAGAUUCAUGCAUAGGACAGCUGAGCAAAAGUAAGGGGUAGUGGUUGAAAUUUUUUAUUCAAAUAUUUGCGUAUUAAAUUAAUGAAAUAUUUUGAAAUAACAAGAAUUUUUCAGUUCAUGAGACUGACUAAAUGGGAAGGCAUUAUUUUAGAAACAUUUUAAAAUACAGCCCCAUUAAGUCAUUCUUUCUUUUUAAAGAUUGGUACCUGAGCCAACAUCUGUUGCCAAUCUUCUCUUUUUUUUU
rnacentral:lncRNA from 1 species